GACGAACGCUGGCGGCGUGCUUAACACAUGCAAGUCGAACGGAAAGGCCCUGCUUUCGUUGGCUGCUCGAGUGGCGAACGGGUGAGUAACACGUGAGUAACCUGCCCUUGACUUUGGGAUAACUUCAGGAAACGGGGACUAAUACCGGAUAGGAGCGCCGGCUGCAUGGGGGGGUGUGGAAAGUUUCGGCGGUUGGGGAUGGACUCGCGGCUUAUCAGCUUGUUGGUGGGGUAGUGGCUUACCAAGGCUUUGACGGGUAGCCGGCCUGAGAGGGUGAACGGCCACCUUGGGCCUGAGAUACGGACCAGACUCCUACGGGAGGCAGCGGUGGGGAAUAUUGCCCAAUGGGCGGAAGCCUGAUGCAGCAACGCCGCGUGCGGGAUGACGGCCUUCGGGUUGUAAACCGCUUUCGCCUGUGACGCAGCGUGAGUGACGGUAAUGGGUAAAGAAGCACCGGCUAACUACGUG
rnacentral:rRNA from 1 species